GACGAACGCUGGCGGCGUGCUUAACACAUGCAAGUCGAACGAAGAGCGACGGAAGCUUGCUUCUCUCAAUCUUAGUGGCGAACGGGUGAGUAACGCGUAAUCAACCUGCCCUUCAGAGGGGGACAACAGUUGGAAACGACUGCUAAUACCGCAUACGAUCUAACCUCGGCAUCGAGGAUAGAUGAAAGGUGGCCUCUACAUGUAAGCUAUCACUGAAGGAGGGGAUUGCGUCUGAUUAGCUAGUUGGAGGGGUAACGGCCCACCAAGGCGAUGAUCAGUAGCCGGUCUGAGAGGAUGAACGGCCACAUUGGGACUGAGACACGGCCCAAACUCCUACGGGAGGCAGCAGUGGGGAAUCUUCCGCAAUGGACGAAAGUCUGACGGAGCAACGCCGCGUGAGUGAUGACGGCCUUCGGGUUGUAAAGCUCUGUUAAUCGGGACGAAAGGCCUUCUUGCGAAUAGUGAGAAGGAUUGACGGUACCGGAAUAGAAAGCCACGGCUAACUACGUG
rnacentral:rRNA from 1 species